AGGAAAGACAGGCAACCGCGAGUGCCCCAGUAAUGGCGAAUGAACUGGCAACACCACCUGACAGAGAGUGUGGCUCAUCCCGAAGUGGUUUCCCUUCCAGCACUGACCCCCUUGUGGGGCAGGCCUGCGGUUGGCUACCGUGGAAUCCAGCAGAUGCUGUGGGCUGUGGGGCGGGCAGCAUGCCAGUGGUGUGAGGACCGUGCCAGGAAGACGCCCUGGAAAGGCGCACGCCAGAGGGAGACUGUCCCGUACCACCCGUGCACGGUCCCUUGCCCACGGCAUGGCUGUCCGCGUCCAGGAGUAGAAUGGCUUGGGACUGCAGUUUGAAGUGCAAGGUGUAUCCAUUGCAAGGCAGAGUACUGGCCUGGGACCGAUAGCGCACAAGUAGAGUGAUUGAAGGAUGCAAAGGACUUUGCAAAGAGGGUUAAAAGUCCCUGAAGCUGUGGCAGCAACGGCGGAGAGUGGAGCUGUGAUCGACUGGAGAUGGACCCUGUCUGGUCCCCCCAUGGGGAAUUGGCCUCCCAAGACUGUCUUGGCUAAAGCAGGAGCGCCGUUCCCCUUGGGGUGAGUUGGCCUAGGACCAUGGCAGAGGGACCACAGACCUAUACAUGCCAAGCAACCUUGGGCCAGCCCAGCACUGGCCAGGAAGCCCUGUUGUUGUCUCAGCAACCAAGCCCCCAAUGGGGAGGACGCCCACCCUGGCAGUGCCUGGUGACACCCUGCGUGCCUGGGCCUGAGGCUUAGAUUGGAUUUGGCUUGACCUUGUGGCGAAUGGAUGAUAUGGCACCCCACUGAGAGCAGAGCAGAGCAAGGGCUGGUGAGAUGAUGGAGAUGCGGGUUGCAGAGCAAAGGGCUACAGCAGGAGUCCCUCCGUGGAGGCAUGCAGAGACAUUUGUUCUGGCCAGACAGAGCAGAGCGCACCCUUGAGCAAGGUGUGGGAGCCAUAUGGGAAGCGAGACAGACAGACAUUGACACCUGCCUAUUGUACGUGUGUCAUCCUCUACUGAGCGAACGCAUGAGAGAACCCCCUGGUGUGUCUUCCGGACAUGCCAGUCACUGUGCCUGGUCAUGGCCCGAGGCUGGUGGACACACGGUGGCUGCACCACCCUCAUGGCUGGUGGCUCCUGUGUGACCGCGUGGUCUCCCAGACAGAGCACGGUGUGAGAGGCAGAGUGGAGCUUGGGCCAUCAGUGCCACCCUCUGCCCGUCUUGAAACACGGAUCAAGGAGUCUAUGGAGCUUGCGCACAGUUGGAAGGUUCCCCCAAUGGAAGCCGCGGUGCAUGGUGAAGGCAACAGACCCAGAUGGUGAAUUCCCCCCGCGUGGGGGAGGACGGUGCUGCAUGGGACACCGGUCCUGAAGUCCAAUGGACAAGGUUCUGAGUGAGUGCAAGGUCCCUGGGACCCGAAAGGUGGUGAACUAUACCGUUCUAUGGUGAAGCCUUGGGAAACUGAGGUGGAGGCCAGCAGCUGUUCUGACGUGCAAAUUGUGUAGCCUGAGUGUGGCAUAGGGGUGAAAGGCCAAUCGAACCACCUAGUAGCUGGUUUCCUUCGAAGUUUCCCUCAGGAUAGCUGGGCUUGAGUGCAACCCACCCAGAGAGAGGUUACGCCCGGUAAAGCAACGCAUGAGAGGCCAUUGUAAAGUCCCUGGGAAGGCCGUCCUUCUCAACCUAUUCUCGAACUGUGAAUGGGCGUGAACAACAACCCACAAUGCAAGCUCCUUCACUGGCGCCGGAGUCUGUGCUGGUCAUCUAUGGACAGUCCUACUGGCAACGUCUGAGCAUGUUUGUCUGUGGUGGUGGCAGCCAACUGAUUGUCUUGAGCAAGGCGCCACACCGUGCUGUGCUUGGAAAGGGCAAGGGGGCCUGUGCCCCUCCGUGGUGGCCACGUCCCCUUGCCUGCACGCACACGCCACACCCACACACCCAACUGGUGCUUGAGAGAGAUUGGUGCAAUGAGCAGAGACAGAGCUGCCACCCCCUUGGGAGAGAACAGACAGGCCUAUGUGGACCAUGAUUGGUAAGCAGUGCUGGUGAUGCGGGAUGCUCCGAGAGUGGACUUACAGGUCCAGAGUGCUGGCUCAUACCCAGAUCCCACAAAGGGUGUUGCUUGCUGGAGAUAGCAGGACGGUGGCCAUGAAGGUUGGAACCCGCCAAGGAAUGUGUAACAACUCACCUGCCAAAGCGUGCAGCCCCGAAAAUGGAUGGUGCCCAAGUCAGUGAAGCUGAGUUUGCCUUACAGUCCACUGCCACUGUGGCAGCAACAAGCAGAGCAUUGGCAUGUAGAAUGGACAUGGGAGAGUGCGGUGCCUGCUGGGGUCACCCCUGGCUUGAGUGUCUCCUGGCGCAGAUCUUGGUUGCAGUAGCAAGUACUCCAUCAGGGAAGGUGCAGAACAACCCCUGGCCGUGUGUGGUUGAGGACUGGAGUGGAGCAGGUUUCCACAACAAACAGCCGUUGAAUGUGGGUCAGCCGAACGUGAGCCAAGUGGUAAAUUCACUGAACAACCAAAGCUGCUGUGCAUGGCAGGAAUGGCAAACAGGCAAGCAGGGACAACAUUCUGCUGCAAUGGGCCCGGGGCACCCAUACUGAGAGUUGAGUGGUGACUCUCCAUUGAUUGCUGGAUCAAGCAGGCCUUGGGGCAGUGGACCCCCUGGGGAGUUCUCUUUUCCUCCUGAUGCAGGUUCACGUGGGCUGUUGAAUGGCAUGACAGAUGGUGGCACACAGGCCCUCCACCCAGCAGGGCAGCAAUCUCACAAUGUAUGGUACAGCUGAUGGUCUCCUCCUUCCGUCUUCAAAGGGGCUCCGUGUGGUCUCCCCUGGUCAGCAGCAUGACAGAUCCAAGGGCUAAAGCAGGCAAUGGCUAUGUACAGAGAGAGCACGAACGGCAGACAGAAAGGCCCCUGGGCAAGGCCAGGCGCAGAGCAGCAACACAAGCAACCCUCUGGACACUUCUCUUCUCUGGCAGUCACUGGCUCCAAUGAAAGUCCUGUGUGGGCGUGUGCCCCGAACCCCUGGGUUCUCGUACUGAAUCACCGCAGCUGGUCUCCUCAGCUGGACGCUGCUAGUCCACAGAUUGAAUGCAGCUAAGGGAAGUCGGCAAACUAGCUGUGUACCUUUGGAAGAUGCAGUGGCUCCAGAGGCCAAGCCACCCGUUGGGUCCCACCGCGGUGCCCUCUAGUACGUCUCAUGCCUGUGUACCAACGAAACUCACCCUGCCACUCCAAUGGAUUUGUCAUCGGGAUCUGCGCACACACUUAGAUGCCUUGCCUCUGGGAUUGGCACUGUCCUUCUUUGAUUGUGGUGAGGCCUGCCUGCUGGCGCGGUGGGUUCGCCCACAGUAGAGUGCCACGCAGCCCGCCUCCUCCCUGGUGUCUACAUGGUGGCCCAUAUGGAACUGAUGCUGUGCAGGGGAAUCUGACUGUUUAAUUGAAACCCAGCUUUGUGAGGGGACCAGCUGGCUGGUUCCAUGAGGUGACUUCUGCCCAGUGCUCUGAUUGUGACCACGAAGAGAUUCAGUGAAGCGCGGGUAAACGGCGGGAGUAACUAUGACUCUCUUAAGGUAGCCAAAUGCCUCGUCAACCAAUUAUUGACGCGCAUGAAUGGAUCAACGAGAUUCCUGCUGUCCCUAGGUGCUGUCUGGUGAACCAACCGCCAAGGGAACGGGCUUGGGUGUGUCAGCGGGGAAAGAAGAGCCUGUUGAGA
rnacentral:rRNA from 1 species